GCGGGUGUAGUUUAGUGGCAGAACUUUUGCUUCCCAAGCAAAAAGUACGGGUUCGAUUCCCGUCACCCGCUCCA
rnacentral:tRNA from 1 species